CUGGCGAGCCAUGUUGUUUUUAUCAUCCACUACAAACCUGCAUAGUAACAGGACACACCUCUCCUAGCUAUGUGCAUUUGUAAGCCAAUCACUAUUGAGUUUCAGGUGUGACGUCGUUUUUGUUGACACUUCCAUUAGCUGGCCACCUGCGAAACGUCACUGCAGCAGCGCGCGCCCGUGACCCUCGACGUCCACCCUGCGUUUUCUGCCUGGAAACAAACAUCUCGAGCUAAUCGGAGCUGUGGAAAAAACGUUAGAUACCAGUGGUUGGAGGCUGCGUGGGGAAAUGGGCUCGGAUCAAAGUACCAGUUCAGCUGCUGACCAGCGACAGAGGAAUCCAGGCAAUCUGCCAUCCCAAGGUGAAGCAUCUUCAUCCAGUAUCCAAACUGAUACUGGUCCUGAGCGCCAAGAUCAUCUGGAUCCAGACACAGACCUGCCUCAAUGCCGAAUAGGCACCAGAAAGGUAGACGACAUGAGCUUCAU